rnacentral:rRNA from 1 species
UACGUAGGGUGCAAGCGUUGUCCGGAAUUAUUGGGCGUAAAGAGCUCGUAGGCGGUCUGUUGCGUCCGCUGUGAAAACCCGGGGCUUAACCCUGGGCUUGCAGUGGGUACGGGCAGACUAGAGUGUGGUAGGGGAGACUGGAAUUCCUGGUGUAGCGGUGGAAUGCGUAGAGAUCCGGAAGAACACCGGUGGCGAAGGCGGUCUGCUGGGCAGUAGCUGACACUGAUGCGCGACAGCGUGGGGAGCAAACAGG